rnacentral:rRNA from 1 species
CCUACGGGAGGCAGCAGUGGGGAAUAUUGCGCAAUGGGCGAAAGCCUGACGCAGCGACGCCGCGUGAGGGAUGAAGGUCUUCGGAUCGUAAACCUCUGUCAGCAGGGAAGAACGGUCACUGUGCUAAUCAGCAGUGAAUUGACGGUACCUGCAAAGGAAGCACCGGCUAACUCCGUGCCAGCAGCCGCGGUAAUACGGAGGGUGCGAGCGUUAAUCGGAAUUACUGGGCGUAAAGCGCGCGUAGGCGGUAUGUUAAGUCAAGGGGGAAAUCCCCGCGCUCAACGUGGGAACUGCCUUUGAAACUGGUAAACUGGAGUGUGUGAGAGGAUAGUGGAAUUCCAGGUGUAGGAGUGAAAUCCGUAGAGAUCUGGAGGAACAUCAGUGGCGAAGGCGACUAUCUGGCACAUAACUGACGCUGAGGAGCGAAAGCGUGGGUAGCAAACAGGAUUAGAUACCCUAGUAGUC